rnacentral:rRNA from 1 species
CCUGGAGUGGGGGAUAGCCCGGCGAAAGCCGGAUUAAUACCGCAUACGCUCUACGGAGGAAAGGGGGGGAUCUUUCGGGACCUCUCGCUCAAGGGGCGGCCGAUGGCAGAUUAGCUAGUUGGUGGGGUAAAGGCCUACCAAGGCGACGAUCUGUAGCUGGUCUGAGAGGACGACCAGCCACACUGGGACUGAGACACGGCCCAGACUCCUACGGGAGGCAGCAGUGGGGAAUUUUGGACAAUGGGCGCAAGCCUGAUCCAGCAAUGCCGCGUGUGUGAAGAAGGCCUUCGGGUUGUAAAGCACUUUUGUCCGGAAAGAAAUCCCUUGCCCUAAUACGGCGGGGGGAUGACGGUACCGGAAGAAUAAGCACCGGCUAACUACGUGCCAGCAGCCGCGGUAAUACGUAGGGUGCAAGCGUUAAUCGGAAUUACUGGGCGUAAAGCGUGCGCAGGCGGUUCGCUAAGACAGAUGUGAAAUCCCCGGGCUUAACCUGGGAACUGCAUUUGUGACUGGCGGGCUAGAGUAUGGCAGAGGGGGGUAGAAUUCCACGUGUAGCAGUGAAAUGCGUAGAGAUGUGGAGGAAUACCGAUGGCGAAGGCAGCCCCCUGGGCCAAUACUGACGCUCAUGCACGAAAGCGUGGGGAGCAAACAGGA